UGGCGUGGAUGACGUCAUAAGUUCUUGCGGUUCCACAAAGAGAACACACUUAGAACAUCUGGCUUAGAAACAGAAGGAAACACACUACAAGAUCAACGUGCUAGUUAGUGAUCAUUCACAAUGCUCUGCUGCCCGUGUUUGUGGUGGAAGUGGGCCCAGGUGUCUUCUUCUGUGUAUGUGAUAUCAUCAGAAAGCACCUCACCAAUAUCUACAGAGACGUCCCAGUCUGGUGAGGAAUCCCUAAAGAAGAAGCAGGGUGAUGCAAGCACAAUCUCCAGAUGGCCUUUCUGUAGGGUAAGAACGUCUUUUAUCCAAAAUAUUUGCAGACAUAUUUACCAUUUAUAUCACAUGAAAUAUCAGAUUUGCAAAGCACAGAGUUUUUCCAUAAUGCAACAUCCAGAACCUUGCAGGUUCCUGCUGAAGGAUUUAUCACUCUUGUCUUAUGGGUGAACAAAAUAAGGAUUUA